rnacentral:lncRNA from 1 species
ACAGUACGGAUGUGAAGUUUGAAGUAGAAAUGAAGUUUGAGGGUCCUAAGGAAUUUAAAGAUACUGUUCAGAGAUAUGCUAUAGUUAAUGGAUACAAUCUUAUAUGGAAAAGAAGUGGUAAGAAAAACAUGAGGGUCAAAUAUAUGGACAAGUGCCAUUAGAAGAUAUAUGCAAGCUGGAUGUAGAUCGAGAAGAUAUUU